rnacentral:snRNA from 1 species
AGAGGGUGAGAGCCCCGUCGUG